AUUUAAUUGAAGAGUUUGAUCAUGGCUCAGAUUGAACGCUGGCGGCAGGCCUAACACAUGCAAGUCGAACGGUA
rnacentral:rRNA from 1 species